rnacentral:piRNA from 1 species
UGAAUUUAACUUUAUGAUGGAUGUAGAAC